rnacentral:tRNA from 1 species
GAGGGUAUAGCUCAGCUGGUUAGAGUACUUGCUUGACAUGCAAGGGGUCGCUGGUUCGAGUCCAGCUAUCCUCA